AUUGAACGCUGGCGGCAGGCCUAACACAUGCAAGUCGAGCGGAUGAAGGGAGCUUGCUCCUGGAUUCAGCGGCGGACGGGUGAGUAAUGCCUAGGAAUCUGCCUGGUAGUGGGGGAUAACGUCCGGAAACGGGCGCUAAUACCGCAUACGUCCUGAGGGAGAAAGUGGGGGAUCUUCGGACCUCACGCUAUCAGAUGAGCCUAGGUCGGAUUAGCUGGUUGGUGGGGUAAAGGCCUACCAAGGCGACGAUCCGUAACUGGCCUGAGAGGAUGAUCAGUCACACUGGACCUGAGACACGGCCCAGACCCCUACGGGAGGCAGCGGUGGGGAAUAUUGGACAAUGGGCGAAAGCCUGCGCCAGCCAUGCCGCGUGUGUGAAGAAGGUCUUCGGUUUGUAAAGCACUUUAUGUUGGGAGGAAGGGCAGUAAGUUAACACCUUGCUGUUUUGCCGUUACCAACAGAAUAAGCACCGGCUACCUUCGU
rnacentral:rRNA from 1 species